CUUAGUCCCCCAGGUCUGUUGACUGAGAACACACUCCCUCUAGCCCUUAGUCCCCCAGGUCUGUUGACUGAGAACACACUCCCUCUAGCCCUUAGUCCCCCAGGUCUGUUGACUGAGAACACACUCCCUCUAGCCCUUAGUCCCCCAGGUCUGUUGACUGAGAACACACUCCCUCUAGCCCUUAGUCCCCCAGGUCUGUUGACUGAGAACACACUCCCUCUAGCCCUUAGUCCCCCAGGUCUGUUGACUGAGAACACACUCCCUCUAGCCCUUAGUCCCCCAGGUCUGUUGACUGAGAACACACUCCCUCUAGCCCUUAGUCCCCCAGGGUAUGUUGACUGAGAACACACUCCCUCUAGCCCUUAGUCCCCCAGGUCUGUUGACUGAGAACACACUCCCUCUAGCCCUUAGUCCCCCAGGUCUGUUGACUGAGAACACACUCCCUCUAGCCCUUAGUCCCCCAGGUCUGUUGAAUGAGAAAACACUCCCUCUAGCCCUUAGUCCCCCAGGUCUGUUGACUGAGAACACACUCCCUCUAGCCCUUAAUCCCCCAGGUCUGUUGACUGAGAACACACUCCCUCUAGUCCUUAAUCCCAGGUCUGUUGACCGAGAACACACUCCCUUAAUCCCCCAGGUCUGUUGACUGAGAACACACUCCCUUAGUCCCCCAGGUCUGUUGACCUAGAACACACUCCCUUAAUCCCCCAGGUCUGUUGACUGAGAACACACUCCCUUAAUCCCCGAAGUCUGUUGAUUGAGAACACACUCCCUUAAUCCCCGAGGUCUGUUGACUGAGAACACCCCCUCUAGCCCUUAAUCCCCCAGGUCUGUUGACUGAGAACACACUCCCUCUAGCCUUUAAUCCCCUAGGUCCGUUGACUGAGAACACUCCCUCUAUCCCUUAAUCCCCCAGGUCUGUUGACUGAGAACACACUCCCUCUAGCCCUUAAUCCCCCAGGUCUGUUGACUGAGAACACACUCCCUCUAGCCCUUAAUCCCCCAGGUCUGUUGACUGAGAACACACUCCCUCUAGCCCUUAAUCCCCUAGGUCUGUUGACUGAGAACACACUCCCUCUAGCCCUUAAUCCCCCAGGUCUGUUGACUGAGAACACACUCCCUUAGUCCCCCAGGUCUGUUGACUGAGAACACACUCCCUUAAUCCCCUAGGUCUGUUGACUGAGAACACACUCCCUCUAGCCCUUAAUCCCCUAGGUCUGUUGACUGAGAACACACUCCCUCUAGCCCUUAAUCCCCCAGGUCUGUUGACUGAGAACACACUCCCUUAAUCCCCGAGAUCUGUUGACUGAGAACACACUCCCUUAAUCCCCCAGGUCUGUUGACUGAGAACACACUCC